UUGGAUCGAGAAAGCUGGGCUCUGUGGGCAGCAGAUAUCUGCAAGUACAAACAAAGCCUUUGGUUUCUUCCUCUGCCCCAGCUCUCUUCUGUGUGGGCCUUUCUGGACUUCUGGACACAGAAUACAGAAUGCUGACACACAGAUUCCAUUGACAAUUCUAAUCAGCACAACUUAGACAUCUGUGCACUGUCCCCACUUACUAUCCUGUGCGGCCAGGCCUCUAAGUAUACUUGGCUUUUCUAGAGCCCUUUUUGAAUGGGGAUCUCAAUAUGCUUUAGACUGAGGAGGACUCCAGCCAGGGCCAUGAAGAGCACUGCGAAGUACCACAGCCUCUGCAUGCCAGAGAUACUUUUAAAACUCAGCCCCGCUUCCCCAGGCGUUCUGUGGUUCAUCAGUGCAUAGGGAGCUCAUGUGUUUGGGUUUUUUUGUUUUUGUUUUUAAUUUUGUUAGUGAUUUUUAGAAAGUAAGCGAAUCAUUUGAGUGAGUGAAUUUCCUAGAGGUUGGAAUGAAACCAGAGUUAACAGAUACACAUGGGGCCUGUUUGCUGUGUGUCAUACAGCAGAUAGAGCCACUGUCCCUGGUGCCAUAGUCCGGGGAAUUCUCUCUGGGGGUUCUUUUCUGGUAGCUCAGGCUCUUAGUUUCUCCCACAUCAGCACAUGACAACCCACAUAUAUGUAUGUGGCUUUUACAUAGCAUAGUGUUCAAAUAUCGACUUGAAUAUUCUGUGUGUAGUAUGCACACAACUUGCCUUUGUUUUCUUUUCUGUUUCUACCUUAUGGGUACAGCCUGAACCGUGCACAUUGUGUUUUUAAUCAGAGGCACAAUUCCAUUAGCCAGAAGCGAAUGCUGUUCUCGUGCAUGGCACAUCCGAUCAGUGAGUAAAUCACAGAGUGUCCGCGUUGUGUCGUAUCCGUAUGGAAAUGACACAAACUCUUUGAGAACAUUCCAGACUCCUACUAAAAUCUAGAAGGAAUGAACCAUGAAAGUUUUACAGGCAACUCUGCAGACCCCCGAGCUCAAGAGCAGAGCCUGUGUGAGCCACGGCUGGCUCUUCAUCCUUCAGCAGUGCCUUGCACACUACAAGCGUGCAGAAAUGUUUGUUGAGUGAAUGAAUGGACGGCGUGCCGAGUGAAUGAUAGGCAGUAAACAGAGGAAGAGGAGGUGAGACGUUAUGCUGGCAGUAUUACAGGGUGUGUAGGGAUGAUCUCUGUUGUAUUUGGUUUGUGAAAUAGUCCUUCAACUGAGAGGGGAAAAAAAAGCACACUUUUAGGUGGGUGUGGCCGGUGGUGUAUCUGGGGAGUCGGGAACAGAAAUACUGCGGUAAUGCAUGAGCCGCAUGUUGGCUUCCAGAGCAGGAGAUCUGGAGGAAAGCCGAUUUCACAUUUCGAAGGUAAUAAUAGUGUGUUCGUUCAGGGCAGGAAAGGUUGGCUGAGCCCAGAAAUUCCUGGCUGGUCAGGUGCUCCUUCAGACCAGCUUGCAUAAUUCAUAAUUUCAUAAUUCAGGGCAGAAAUUCUGAAAUUGCUUCAAGAAUCUGGAAUCGCUACCCAUCUCUUGCAGCAAAACUGAUGAGCCACACCCUGGAUCUCCAGGACAACAGACAGGGCUAGAGCGCAGACAGGGAGCCAAUCAUCUGUAGAGCAGCUUCCCAUUGGCCCAUUACUGGUCACACCUCCCGCUGUCCAGAUGUUUGCACAUUAGAGCUUUCAGUGGGCUCCACACCCACACACAUACCUUCCUUUACACCUAGUGGGACACAUACAUGUGAAGAGAUGGCAGAGCCUGGCGCGGGAAGAGAGGCUGAAUCUGAAGGCCUUUGUGUACAGGUGGGCAGUGAAAGACAGGAGCCUGUGUGGACCUGGUCGUUGUGAACUCUGGAUGAGAGAACAGCCCCUGAAAUAGCCCUGCCUCCCAGCCUCGCCCCUAAGACGCUUUAUUAGAAGCCAGCCUUCUCUGGUGGAUGCCUACUUCUGACGCAGGAAGCGUUAAGAGGUAUAGAGCCGAGGUUUGCCUUUUGAGGAGUGUUGAGUCAUUCAUUUCAUUUACGUUUUGUACUUCAUCUUUGGGACUGGAUAAUUUGGUGACUAAUGUGGAUUCUAUUUCAGUGAAAGCUUUGCUUUCAGCGUUUCUUACUUCUUCACUAAUGCCUUGUGUGUGUUUUUACUAACCUUUUAGAUUGUACCUUCAGGUGAGAAGAACAGAAAAAAAUAAAAAUAAAAACCCUCAGCAGGGUUGCUCUUGCUGCCAGGUGCUGGCUGUGGAGGUCAAAAGAAGUAAUUGUCUGCACCAUUUUUCUGCCUUGUCAGCCCCUUUACUGUACCAAGGUCUUUGGGAAACCCCUGCAGGUUCCUAUUGCAGGGUGGGAAAUUGUGAAGAAAAGUGUUUGCACAAUCUUAACAAUAAGUGUUCCUGGUCUCUUGUAGGUUUUUGUUAUUCCUAGUUCUCCCCUGCUCAGACUGAGAAAAACAUUUGUGGUGCUGUCAACCUGUGUUCUUGACCCUCAAAUGAUUUUGAUUUUUUUUUUUUGUAUUUCCAAUAUGAAUUUGUGUGUUACGAAUUUCUGAUUUCUUCAAUAGCAUAUGCUACUAUAUAAAUUUGUAUCAAUAAUAAAUGAUGGCCCAGU
rnacentral:lncRNA from 1 species